AGCAGCCGCGGUAAUUCCAGCUCCAAUAGCGUAUAUUAAAGUUGUUGCAGUUAAAAAGCUCGUAGUUGAAUUUCGGGAUCAAUACGUCGGUCGUGCUUCGGUACGUACUGGCGUAAUUGAUUUCUCCCUUCUGACGAACCAUGAUGUCAUUAACUUGGUGUCAUGGGAAAUCAGGACUGUUACUUUGAAAAAUUAGAGUGUUUAAAGCAGGCUCACGCUUGAAUACAUUAGCAUGGAAUAAUGAAAUAGGACGUUUGAUUCUAUUUUGUUGGUUUCUAGGAUCGACGUAAUGAUUAAUAGUGAUAGUUGGGGGCAUUAGUAUUCAAUUGUCAGAGGUGAAAUUCUUGGAUUUAUUGAAGACUAACUACUGCG
rnacentral:rRNA from 1 species